rnacentral:rRNA from 1 species
UACGUAGGGGGCUAGCGUUGUCCGGAAUCAUUGGGCGUAAAGCGCGUGUAGGCGGUCCGGUAAGUCCGCUGUGAAAGUCGGGGCUCAACCCUCGAAAGCCGGUGGAUACUGUCGGGCUAGAGUACGGAAGAGGCGAGUGGAAUUCCUGGUGUAGCGGUGAAAUGCGCAGAUAUCAGGAGGAACACCGGUGGUGUAAACGGCUUCUGGACCAUAACUGACGCUGAGGCACGAAAGCGUGGGUAGCAAACAGG